rnacentral:rRNA from 1 species
UACGUAGGUGGCAAGCGUUAUCCGGAAUUAUUGGGCGUAAAGCGCGCGCAGGUGGUUUCUUAAGUCUGAUGUGAAAGCCCACGGCUCAACCGUGGAGGGUCAUUGGAAACUGGGAGACUUGAGUGCAGAAGAGGAAAGUGGAAUUCCAUGUGUAGCGGUGAAAUGCGUAGAGAUAUGGAGGAACACCAGUGGCGAAGGCGGCAUCCUGGACCGGUAUUGACGCUGAGGCGCGAAAGCUAGGGGAGCAAACGGG